rnacentral:rRNA from 1 species
CGCUUUGAGGAUUGACAGUUAUUGUAUAGUUCUGAUAUGGGUGGUAUUUGUAGUCAACGUGUAGGUAGUUGUAUAUUAAAUAUGAAAGUUCUUUUAUGAUUAUGUGAUAGGUGGUGCAUGGCCGUCCUUAAUUCGUGGAGUGAUUUGUCUGCUUAAUUGCGCAUUGCAAAUUGUAAUUGAUCUUUUACCAGUCUCGUUCUGAUUUAUGUUGUGAAUAUUGUAGAA